AAAUGAAUUGACGGGGACCCGCACAAGCGGUGGAGCAUGUGGUUUAAUUCGAAGCAACGCGAAGAACCUUACCUGGUCUUGACAUCCUCCUGAUGUCCGAGUAACGUCGGAGUUCCUACGGGACAGGAGAGACAGGUGGUGCAUGGUUGUCGUCAGCUCGUGUCGUGAGAUGUUGGGUUAAGUCCCGCAACGAGCGCAACCCUUAUCUUUAGUAGCCAGCAGUUCGGCUGGGCACUCUAGAGAGACUGCCAGGGAUAACCUGGAGGAAGGUGGGGAUGACGUCAAAUCAUCAUGCCCCUUAUGACCAGGGCUACACACGUGCUACAAUGGCGUAAACAAAGGGAAGCGAAACUGUGAAGUGAAGCAAAUCCCAAAAAUAACGUCUCAGUUCGGAUUGUAGUCUGCAACUCGACUACAUGAAGCUGGAAUCGCUAGUAAUCGCGAAUCAGAAUGUCGCGGUGAAUACGUUCCCGGGUCUUGUACACACCGCCCGU
rnacentral:rRNA from 1 species